rnacentral:tRNA from 1 species
GCACGACCUUUCCCAGGUUGGGGUCGCGAGUUCGAGUCUCGUUUCCCGCUCCA